rnacentral:ribozyme from 1 species
UGCCCAGCAACUCCUAUCCCUACCUCGCGGUACUGGCCGGGGUACGAGUAACCUUAGGGAAGAUCGGGUAACCAACCCCCGAUGGGAACUUUGGUCGUAUGCUGACAGGGAAGG